rnacentral:rRNA from 1 species
CAGCCGCCGCGGUAAUACAGAGGGUGCGAGCGUUAAUCGGAUUUACUGGGCGUAAAGCGUGCGUAGGCGGCUUCUUAAGUCGGAUGUGAAAUCCCUGAGCUUAACUUAGGAAUUGCAUUUGAUACUGGGAAGCUAGAGUAUGGGAGAGGAUGGUAGAAUUCCAGGUGUAGCGGUGAAAUGCGUAGAGAUCUGGAGGAAUACCGAUGGCGAAGGCAGCCAUCUGGCCUAAUACUGACGCUGAGGUACGAAAGCAUGGGGAGCAAACAGGAUUAGAUACCCGAGUAGUCCCUGUCUCUUAUAC